CCCAAACCCACUGUGAACCUUACCUCAGUUGCCUCGGCGGGAACGCCCCGGCCGCCUGCCCCCGCGCCGGCGCCGGACCCAGGCGCCCGCCGCAGGGACCCCAAACUCUCUUGCAUUACGCCCAGCGGGCGGAAUUUCUUCUCUGAGUUGCACAAGCAAAAACAAAUGAAUCAAAACUUUCAACAACGGAUCUCUUGGUUCUGGCAUCGAUGAAGAACGCAGCGAAAUGCGAUAAGUAAUGUGAAUUGCAGAAUUCAGUGAAUCAUCGAAUCUUUGAACGCACAUUGCGCCCGCCAGCAUUCUGGCGGGCAUGCCUGUUCGAGCGUCAUUUCAACCCUCGAGCCCCCCCGGGGGCCUCGGUGUUGGGGGACGGCACACCAGCCGCCCCCGAAAUGCAGUGGCGACCCCGCCGCAGCCUCCCCUGCGUAGUAGCACACACCUCGCACCGGAGCGCGGAGGCGGUCACGCCGUAAAACGCCCAACUUUCUUAGAGUUGACCUCGGAUCAGGUAGGAAUACCCGCUGAACUUAAGCAUAUCAAUAAGCGGAGGAA
rnacentral:misc_RNA from 1 species